GACGAACGCUGGCGGCGUGCCUAAUACAUGCAAGUCGAACGCUUCUUUCCUCCCGAGUGCUUGCACUCAAUUGGAAAGAGGAGUGGCGGACGGGUGAGUAACACGUGGGUAACCUACCCAUCAGGGGGGGAUAACACUUGGAAACAGGUGCUAAUACCGCAUAACAGUUUAUGCCGCAUGGCAUAAGAGUGAAAGGCGCUUUCGGGUGUCGCUGAUGGAUGGACCCGCGGUGCAUUAGCUAGUUGGUGAGGUAACGGCUCACCAAGGCCACGAUGCAUAGCCGACCUGAGAGGGUGAUCGGCCACACUGGGACUGAGACACGGCCCAGACUCCUACGGGAGGCAGCAGUAGGGAAUCUUCGGCAAUGGACGAAAGUCUGACCGAGCAACGCCGCGUGAGUGAAGAAGGUGUUCGGAUCGUAAAACUCUGUUGUUAGAGAAGAACAAGGACGUUAGUAACUGAACGUCCCCUGACGGUAUCUAACCAGAAAGCCACGGCUAACUACGUG
rnacentral:rRNA from 1 species